AUUGAACGCUGGCGGCAUGCCUUACACAUGCAAGUCGAACGGUAACGCGGGGCAACCUGGCGACGAGUGGCGAACGGGUGAGUAAAGCAUCGGAACGUGCCCAGUAGUGGGGGAUAGCCCGGCGAAAGCCGGAUUAAUACCGCAUACGACCUAUGGGUGAAAGGGGGGGAUCGCAAGACCUCUCGCUAUUGGAGCGGCCGAUGUCAGAUUAGGUAGUUGGUGGGGUAAAGGCCUACCAAGCCGACGAUCUGUAGCUGGUCUGAGAGGACGACCAGCCACCCUGGGACUGAGACACGGCCCAGACUCCUACGGGAGGCAGCAGUGGGGAAUUUUGGAUAAUGGGCGAAAGCCUGAUCCAGCAAUGCCGCGUGCAGGAAGAAGGCCUUCGGGUUGUAAACUGCUUUUGUACGGAGCGAAAAGGUCUCCUCUAAUACAGGGGUCUCAUGACGGUACCGUAAGAAUAAGCACCGGCUAACUACGUGCCAGCAGCCGCCGUAA
rnacentral:rRNA from 1 species